UACGUAGGGUGCAAGCGUUAAUCGGAAUUACUGGGCGUAAAGCGUGCGCAGGCGGUUGUGCAAGACCGAUGAUGAAAUCCCCGGGCUUAACCUGGGAAUGGCAUUGGUGACUGCACGGCUAGAGUGUGUCAGAGGGGGGUAGAAUUCCACGUGUAGCAGUGAAAUGCGUAGAGAUGUGGAGGAAUACCGAUGGCGAAGGCAGCCCCCUGGGAUAACACUGACGCUCAUGGCACGAAAGCGUGGGGAGCAAACAGG
rnacentral:rRNA from 1 species